GUGUUUGCUUUGGGAGCACAUAUAGUAAAACUGGAACGAUACAGAGAUUAGCAUGGCCCCUGCACAAGGAUGACACGGAAAUUUGUGAAGCGUCCUAUAUUUUU